rnacentral:rRNA from 1 species
UACGUAGGGUGCGAGCGUUAAUCGGAAUUACUGGGCGUAAAGCGUGCGCAGGCGGUUCGCUAAGACCGAUGUGAAAUCCCCGGGCUUAACCUGGGAACUGCAUUGGUGACUGGCGGGCUAGAGUGUGGCAGAGGGGGGUAGAAUUCCACGUGUAGCAGUGAAAUGCGUAGAGAUGUGGAGGAAUACCGAUGGCGAAGGCAAUCCCCUGGGCCUGCACUGACGCUCAUGCACGAAAGCGUGGGGAGCAAACAGG